rnacentral:rRNA from 1 species
AGUAACGCGUGGGUAACCUGCCUUAUACAGGGGGAUAACAGUCAGAAAUGGCUGCUAAUACCGCAUAAGCGCACAGAGCUGCAUGGCUCAGUGUGAAAAGCUCCGGUGGUAUAAGAUGGACCCGCGUUGGAUUAGCUAGUUGGUGAGGUAACGGCCUACCAAGGCGACGAUCCAUAGCCGGCCUGAGAGGGUGAACGGCCACAUUGGGACUGAGACACGGCCCAGACUCCUACGGGAGGCAGCAUG